rnacentral:rRNA from 1 species
AGUGAACGCUGGCGGUAGGCCUAACACAUGCAAGUCGAACGGCAGCACAGGAGAGCUUGCUCUCUGGGUGGCGAGCGGCGGACGGGUGAGGAAUACAUCGGAAUCUACUCUGUCGUGGGGGAUAACGUAGGGAAACUUACGCUAAUACCGCAUACGACCUACGGGUGAAAGCAGGGGACCUUCGGGCCUUGCGCGAUUGAAUGAGCCGAUGUCGGAUUAGCUCGUUGGCGGGGUAAAGGCCCACCAAGGCGACGAUCCGUAGCUGGUCUGAGAGGAUGAUCAGCAACACUGGAGCUGAGACACGGUCCAGGGUGCUCCGGGGGGAAGUAGAGGGGAAUAUUGGACAAUGGGCGCAAGCCUGAUCCAGCCAUACCGCGUGGGUGAAGAAGGCCUUCGGGUUGUAAAGCCCUUUUGUUGGGAAAGAAAUCCAGCUGGCUAAUACCCGGUUGGGAUGACGGUACCCAAAGAAUAAGCACCGGCUAACUUCGUGCCAGCCGCCGCCGUAA